UUUCUGUUCUAUAACUGGAAAGUUUGGUUCAUUUUGCAUACGUGCCGCUGAAAGCUUCAGGACUGUGAGAAUUUCCUUUCUGUGCAUCAAGAAAAAUGACUUGCUCUUUGUCAGGUGGAAUUAGAUGUUCUCAAGGCAUCACACAACAUGGGUCAGCUAAAAAGGAAAGCCACAAAUUACUUAGACCGACAAAGACUCUAGGAUCAAGUGAGCUGUAUCAGAAAAUGAGUCAAGACGAAAGAGGAAUGAACUUGACAUUAAUAAAGAUAAUUUAUUUUAAAAAU
ensembl:processed_transcript